rnacentral:rRNA from 1 species
AUUGAACGCUGGCGGCAGGCUUAACACAUGCAAGUCGAGCGGGGGAAGGUAGCUUGCUACCGGACCUAGCGGCGGACGGGUGAGUAAUGCUUAGGAAUAUGCCUAUUAGUGGGGGACAACAUCUCGAAAGGGAUGCUAAUACCGCAUACGUCCUACGGGAGACAGCAGGGGAUCUUCGGACCUUGCGCUAAUAGAUGAGCCUAAGUCGGAUUAGGUAGUUGGUGGGGUACAGGCCUACCAAGGCGACGAUCUGUAGCGGGUCUGAGAGGAUGAUCCGCCACACUGAGAAUGGGACACGGACUAGACUCCUACGGGAGGCAGCAGUGGGGAAUAUUGGACAAUGGGGGGAACCCUGAUCCAGCCAUGCCGCGUGUGUGAAGAAGGCCUUAUGGUUGUAAAGCACUUUAAGCGAGGAGGAGGCUACUUUAGUUAAUACCUAGAGAUAGUGGACGUUACUCGCAGAAUAAGCACCGGCUAACUCUGUGCCAGCCGCCGCCGUAA